GUGAUAGUCCCCCUGUACUCUGCUCUGGUGAGGCUGCACCUCGAGUACAGUGCUCAGCUUUGGGCCCCUCACUACAAGAAGGAUAUCGAGGCCCUGGAGCAUGUCCAGAGAAGGGCUACGGAGCUGGUGAGGGGUGUGGAGUACAAGUCCUGUGAGGAGCGGCUGAGGGAACUGGGGUUGUUUAGCCUGGAGAAGAGGAGGCUCAGGGAAGACCUCAUUGCUCUCUACAACUACCUGAAAGAAGCUGGAGCAAGUGUGCAGUCU